CGAAGUCAGACGCUCAACCCACUGAGCCACCCGGGCGCCCGGAGAGUAAAUUUUUUAUAAAGUAGGAUGACCAAAGAGCCUCUCAAGGAUGUGGCUCUACUUUAAGACUUCAGAAAUACUUAGGGGUGUGCCUCCUACCUAGAACCCUCAGCUAGGCAAAAGAUUUCUAAGAGUUUUAACAGCAUUGCCCCACAGAAUCCUAACCUUAAGCCCAAAACCAGACAGGGUCCUAUCUCAAAAACACUUGUGAGUGUGGCUUUUGUAAACUGCAAGAUUCCUAGGAACCCCACAAUGUGUUUAUGAGUUUGAGUGGAUGGGUGCACCAUCAGCCAGCGUGAACUAAAAGGGGCAGAGUGACUCAAAACUGAAAAGAAGCCUCUAGACCUUCGAACUUCUAUGGGCAGGAAGCCGGCUAAGGGAGCUAUUCAGUGGCAAAUGUAAGCCAUCUCUCACAGCAAAGAAAGGGUGAUUCAGAGGACAGAACCAGGGACCAUGGAGAGUGACGCCCUGAGGGCAGGACUGUGACCCAGGAUAGAACUGGAGGCAAUACCUAGCCAGAUUGCAGAAAUGCUACGGACAAGUGACUGCUCUACGUGCCUCCCAUUCUUCCUGCCCCCUCUGAGCCGGAGCGUCUCCUACAGGUAUUUGUACACCCCAGUGUAUAUUGGGUGCUUGUGUGUAGGGGUGCAGGUAGCCUGUCUUUUUAGUUCACAGGUAGUCCUAUUGACAGGAAACUGUUUAAGGAACACCACCAGAAGAGGAAGCCAUUUGUGCCUGGACUGUAUUUAGAUGACAAGUUCCAGGUUUUUCCAUCUGAUUCUUAUGCGCUUUGGGGGCAGGUGCAAAAGGGUGUGAACAUUUUUGCUUGAGGGAAGGAUGUGAAUUAUCGUGCCUGGAGGGCAGACGGGAUUUUCUGAAGACAGCCACCACAGAGUCUCCAUCCCCCAAGCUCUUCCGCACUGGUGGGAACUCGCCACUUCCUCAUCAAGAGGUGAAGAUUAUUUCUCUCUGCCUGCUUCUACUGGGAAGGGCCUGUGUCUGCCGUGACCAGUAGAAUAUGGCAGCAUCACUGCUGGGCCCACCGUGUCCACUGUGUCCACACAGUGUUUCACUGGCCUGGCAGUUUUCACUUCCUGCCUUUUAGAACACUCCCUCUGGAGCCCAGACUCCAUGCUGUGAGGGCCCCAAGCUACACAGAGGGGCCACAGCCAACAGCCCACAUAAGCUGUCAGCGCCAUCUUGAAUGUCCAGGUCCAGCUGUGGCCAACAUCUGACCAAGACCACGUAAGGGACUCCAGGCUGGUCCCUUCACGCGGUUGUAAAAUGGCUGCCACUUCCUCGCGCCUCCAGGCAUCACAUCCUGACACCCACGUCCCCAGUGGAGAGAGAGGACUGCUUCUCUGCAUCCUGUUUAAGAGCUAAGAGAACUUUUCCAGAGGUCCUCCAGCAGACUUUCACGCCCCAUGGGCUAUAAGUGCAUCUCACAUCCAUUCGUAAACCAUGAGUUACCAUUAUCUUGACCUCAGACUACUCCAGCUUCCCUCCAUCGGAAGCUUUGCCCAAUACGGGAACAAAAUGGGGUUCCGUUAGCAAGGAGUCUAGCUACUGGGUGGGCGAUAACCCAGAAAACCAAGCAGAAGCCCAGAGGCAUUGGCGAUAGGGUGCGCAGAAGAUUCGAGGGCCAGAUCCUGAUGCCCAGCUUGGUCGGUUAGGGGAACAACAAGGAAACAAAGCACGUGUCGUCCAGUGGCUUCCGGAAGUUCCUAGUCCACAGCGUCAAGGAGCUUGAAGUGCUGCCGAUGCCCGACAGAUCUUACUGUGCAGAGAUUUCUCACGAUGUCUCCUCCAAGAACCACAAAGCCCGUCUACAGAUUGCAGGUGGCAAGAGGUGUGAGGCUCUCUGCAAACUCCAGGUGGCCAGGCCCAGCCGAGGCCACGGAAACAAAAAGCCCCAGCCUUUCGGCGUGUACUGCUUGAGGUCACUUUCUCCAUGGAGGUUUUCCUGAGCCCUCCCUCAGGAGACACUGCCAGCUCCCUCCUUCGGUCCUCAACCCACACAUCAUGCCUUCGGCCCCCUACUUGUCUAUGCCCCCCCUGAACUGGGACUUCCUUACUUUGACAUCAAAGUGGCUGCUGCCAUUCCUGGCCCACAGAAGGCCAUCACCCAUGUGUGAUGGCGGGUGGAGGAGGGUGCAGAGGAAGUCAGCUCCCCAGUUCCCUGGGUCAUUAACGUUAACACUGUGGAAUUAUCUCUGCCUUGCUCUUCUUUUCGGAGCGGUGGCCUCAAGCUUGCAGACUUGUGCCCUUGAGCCAGGAUCCCGUCAAGCUGAGAAACCCAGUUUGCUUGUUUUCCUUUUAGUUGGGGCCGGAUAGGAACCCCGUGGGCAGUGUUGGGCCACAGGCUUUUGGCAAGUGGUGCCAUGGGCUUGACUCCUAACUUUUCCCACAUUCCUUCAAACGGACCCCCUGCCCUGCAGGAUGGCUUUUAGUGGAAUGUCACAUGUCCUCGGCACUCAUCUGUGGUCCCUGGGACGGCACCUACCACACUAUCUAAGCUGUGUGUCUUUGGUCUGUCUCUCCUGCACGAUGACCAGCUUUGUGAGGACAGACGUGCUCUUAGGAUCAUUUCUGAACCCAGUGCCUGGAAGAUGCAGAAGAGAUGUUUAACGAAUGGA